rnacentral:rRNA from 1 species
CAGUCGCCGCGGUAAUACGGAGGGUGCAAGCGUUAAUCGGAAUUACUGGGCGUAAAGCGUGCGUAGGCGGUUCGUUAAGUCUGUUGUGAAAGCCCCGGGCUCAACCUGGGAAUGGCAAUGGAUACUGGCGAGCUAGAGUGUGUCAGAGGAUGGUGGAAUUCCACGUGUAGCAGUGAAAUGCGUAGAGAUGUGGAGGAAUACCGAUGGCGAAGGCAGCCCCCUGGGCCAAUACUGACGCUCAUGCACGAAAGCGUGGGGAGCAAACAGGAUUAGAUACCCGGUAGUCCCUGUCUCUUAUACA